rnacentral:rRNA from 1 species
AGGACGAACGCUGGCGGCGUGCUUAACACAUGCAAGUCGAGCGGUAAGGCUCCUUCGGGAGCACACGAGCGGCGAACGGGUGAGUAACACGUGAGCAAUCUGCCCUUCACACUGGGAUAACCCCGGGAAACCGGGGCUAAUACCGGAUGCGACCACCGACGGCAUCGCCUGGUGGUGGAAAGUUCCGGCGGUGGGGGAUGAGCUCGCGGCCUAUCAGCUUGUUGGUGGGGUAAUGGCCUACCAAGGCUUCGACGGGUAGCCGGCCUGAGAGGGUGACCGGCCACACUGGGACUGAGACACGGCCCAGACUCCUACGGGAGGCAGCAGUGGGGAAUAUUGGACAAUGGGCGAAAGCCUGAUCCAGCAACGCCGCGUGAGGGAUGACGGCCUUCGGGUUGUAAACCUCUUUCAGCAGGGACGAAGCGCAAGUGACGGUACCUGCAGAAGAAGCACCGGCCAACUACGUGUCAGCAGCCGC